AUCAUGAGCUGAACCUGGCCAACGAGCCAC
rnacentral:sRNA from 1 species